rnacentral:rRNA from 1 species
GACGAACCGUGCGAACGUUGUUCGGAAUCACUGGGUUUAAAGGGCGCGUAGGCGGCUGGUCAAGUCGGGGGGGAAAUCGUUCCGCUCAACGGGACAAUGGCCUUCGAUACUGGCGGCCUGGAGGGAGGUAGGGGCAUGCGGAACUUCCGGUGGAGCGGUGAAAUGCGUUGAGAUCGGGCAGAACACCAGUGGCGAAGGCGGCCGGCUGGGCCGACCCUGACGCUGAGGCGCGAAAGCCAGGGGAGCGAACAGA